rnacentral:rRNA from 1 species
UACGUGGGGUGCGAGCGUUAAUCGGAAUUACUGGGCGUAAAGCGUGCGCAGGCUGCUUCGCAAGUCAGGCGUGAAAUCCCCGGGCUUAACCUGGGAAUGGCGUCUGAAACUACGGAGCUAGAGUGUGGCAGAGGGAGGUAGAAUUCCACGUGUAGCGGUGAAAUGCGUAGAUAUGUGGAGGAAUACCGAUGGCGAAGGCAGCGUCCUGGGCCAAAACUGACGCUGAGGCACGAAAGCGUGGGGAGCAAACAGG